GUUAGGCUUAGUGGUCCAUGCCCGUAAUCUCAACUACUGGGGAGGCUGAGGCUGGCAGCUAUCUUGAGUGCAGCAGCUUUGAGCUGUAAUGGGCUGUGUCUAUCAGGUGUCUGCACUAAGUUCAGAAUUGAUAUGACAAACCUCUGGGAGUGGGAGGCCAGCAGGUUGCCUGAGGAGGGGUGGAUUGGAUCGGUUUGAAAAUGAAAGUUCAAAGUCCAUGUGCUUGAUCAGUAAUGGGAUCAAGCUGUGAGUAGUUCCUGCAUCUCCAGCCUGGGAGAGAUGUGGAAACCCAACCUCUU
ensembl:misc_RNA Metazoa_SRP Metazoan signal recognition particle RNA